UACGUAGGGGGCAAGCGUUGUCCGGAUUUAUUGGGCGUAAAGAGCGUGUAGGCGGCCACACAGGUCCGCUGUGAAAACUCGAGGCUCAACCUCGAGCUGUCGGUGGAAACCGUGUGGCUAGAGUCCGGAAGAGGAGAGUGGAAUUCCCGGUGUAGCGGUGAAAUGCGCAGAUAUCAGGAAGAACACCCGUGGCGAAGGCGGCUCUCUGGGACGGUACUGACGCUGAGACGCGAAAGCGUGGGGAGCGAACAGG
rnacentral:rRNA from 1 species